CUCUGGUCCACUUCCUCUCUUUGGUUCGCUGGAUAGUCCGUUUGCAUUUCCCACUGUAAGCGAAUCGCACCAGGGCUCACUUGCAAGUAAACUGAGACCCCCAGUUUUCAAGCACACUGGGGUUCGCUCAUUUGGUCCGCACCACUCCAAACGAACGGAACUAUCCGUGGAAGCGGACCAGGGUUUGUUUAAAGCGAACCAAUAGCGCCAGAGUGAAUGUGUCCUUUAAGACAAGUUUUAAGACCCGACACAAAGUGACCUAAACCGCUAGAUAUAAACAGUUAAUGGAAAGUGCUCUGUGCUUGUUUAAAACAUGGUAUCAGUGGCGGUGGAUGAGAGACUGCGGACAGAGUAGACUGAAAUAUCACUUUUUACAUGUUUACAUGUUGCUGAUCAGCUGUAUUGAUAAAGUAUUGACUUUUUGCUCGUGGAGGUUUUAUUGCACUCACAGUAACAAGCAUAGUUGUCAUCAGCUCAAGUUAUCUUCAGGUCUGUCUCCACCGCGGCAUCUUUACUCCGUGUUUGUCCAAAACAUAACAGACACCUAACGGUUACAGAUAAAAGACCCGGUAACGUUGGAGCUCCUCAAUACUAUGGUUGUUAAUAAUUUAGCGCCACGGCCUGUUUACUACCGGCGAGAUUACCAGGGUCAAAGUUUGACACAUCCGUGGAAAAAGGCGUAUGUUUAAAGAUCAAUCUCGGAUUUUAUGAAUUGAUAUCAUGUCACUCAAAUGAAGAUCAAUUUGUUUUAUCAGUUAUUUUAACCCAGCCCUGUAUUGUAGUGAUGUAGUGUUACAGCUAACAUGAAACAAGCAUAUCCCUCUGCACUGAACAAGUUAACACAUCAGAGUCAACUUGUCUGCACAGAUAUCCGCCCUCUUAGUGUUGUAAAGAGUGAAGGUUACCUGAAUAUGGUGAAUACAAUGGAGCCUUGUUACACUACAUGCCUACCUACAACACAUCUCUGACAUUGCUGUGCCCAAGUUGUACAUGGAAGUGGAAAUGACGGUGCUAGAUUCACUUUGGCACGCAACGCUAGGUACCGUGUCUGAAGGGUUACUUUUGGUUCCAAAGGUACCAUACCAAAAAUGUUAGGGGGAAACGGGGCUAUAGAGCGCCACUUAAUUGUACGUAACUGUAACAGUGCAUCACGUAAUGGCUGAGUGGAAGCUGGACUUUCAUGUGCUACGAUCAAGAGCGAUGCAUGAUAACCACACAGGAGAGAGCAUCGUAGCGUUACUAAAGGAGGCCGGUACUGAGUGUAGAUUGGCGGCAAAAGAUCCCACAUUGUAACAGACAAUGCAUCCAAUAUGAACUUUGUGGCUGGACUGAGAGACUUGACCCACGUAUAGUGUUUUAAACACAGCCUGAACCUGACCUCAUAGAGAGCACUGGAAUUGUUAACAGUGGCGAGACUACUCAGCAGUCACUGCCUUUUUUGGACGCAACACCAUAGCCAGCCACCAGCUAAAGCCCAAACAGGACCUGCUCCAGCUUCCAGGACCCAGGUCAGUCACAAGAUGGGCCAGCUCAGAUGACAUGAUUUUUAGAGCAAUGAUGAGUCACCUAUGCACAAUCACGUCAGCAGAGGCCCAGAAAGACUGAAAAGGAUAUCUUAACACUGAGCCUGGCUGACAUCACACGUGCCAAGGAAGUGCUCCAGGCACUCGAGCCAAUGAAGGAUGCCACUUUGGUAAUGUCAUAGGAGAGCACGCCCAGUCUAUCUAAAAUUGCACCACUUCAUGCCAAGCUGGUCACAAGCACAGAAGGAAGCCUGGAUGACACAGACAGUGAAGGACAUCAGAGCUGCUUCAGCACAAGAUCUGGGGAAGAGAGAUGCCAGUGAGAAGAAGACACUGUGCCUGGUGUCAGCUCUCGAUGCUAAGUUUAAGGAUCUACCCUUUCUCUCUGAAGCAGAGACCAGUGAGACCUCCUCCAGCCUGAUUGAUGCUGUGGUGGCGGCCAUGAAGAAGCUACAGAAUCAACAAGAGGAGGUAGACAGUCCGGUGGAGGAGAAGACUCAUCUGAGGUUUAUCACCCACCUAACUAUGAAGAUAGCCCUACCAUCGCCACCCAUGAAGAGACAAAGGAGCACCUGUGCAUUGGCUUGAAGCAACAUUUGCCUCUGCCAAAGUCAAUGCUGCACCAAAAUCUGCACAUGAUGCUGCUGCAGCUGAGACCAAGAGGUUUAGAGAAGAAAAACCUUUGCCACCCCUUGAAAAUCCUCUUAGUUGAUGGGAGGAACACAGACUUCAGUGCCUUCAGCUACUCAGAAUAGCAAAGUGCUUCCUGUGCAUUCCUCCUACAAGUGUCUGGACAGAUUUCUCCACCGCAGGAAACAUCGUAACUACACAAGGAAGAGUCCUGAAAGCUCAACAUGUUGACCUGCUUGUCUUCCUCCACAAAUACCUUGACAGUAAAUCAUAAGCACUGGCGUUCAUACAAACUGGAAUAAUGUGAGAACCAAGUUGAAAUAAUGAAAGAAUGUUCAGCAUCGCAAUAUAUUAACUUAUUGUACCUUUGUUUUUGUUUUCUUUCUGCAAGCACUUUUAUCUUUCAUUUUAUUCAAAUAGGCAGAUGUAAUUCCAUUGUUCAGACUGAACAAAACACAGUGUUACUACAUAAGAUAGAGACAGCUGUUCAGCACUCAGAGUGGGAAACACAUGACCACAAUGAGCUACAUUCCAAUACAACAACCCACCCACAGAUAAACAUGGCAUUAAAAAACAAUACAUGUACAUACAUUCUUUUAAAAACCGAUUUCAGUGUGCUAAAAAACAACAAUGGCCUUAUUUAGAGAGGAUAUCUCGCAGCUACCGUAUAUCUCUUAAAGGCUUGUGGAUUCUGCACGUCCUUUAUUACAGGAGGCAGCUGAUUCCGCUCGGUAGCAACAGUGUGAAGCGAAGAAACCAUGCACAUCGUGGUUUUGAAUCUAUGGAUGUUAGAGGGACAAUGUAAAAUAGUUUUGUGACAUUAAAUCCUGCACUAUGCAAUGGGAUAGGACAAAAUAUUGCUUUGGGAAUACAAUUUACUCCAUUUUUUUGUGAAUAUAGGGCUCAAUAUUUGUUUUUAUUUUUAUUCAUUUAACCUUUGUUUCAUGUUGAGAUUGAAAAUCUCACCUGGCCAAAAUCGGCCUGUGCACCUUUUUACAGCAGUGCCUUCAGUGUUGCCAAAUUGUUGACUUUCUAGCUAGAUUUUUUUUUUUUCACUUUCAGACCCUCUCAUGCCUUAAUUUCUAAAAAAUAACCCACUGCCUCCGCAGGCAAAUGGACCUGCACUUGUAUAGUGCCUUUCUAGUCAUUCUACCAUUCAAAUCACGUAAACACUACAUGUCCAUCAGGAACCAUCAGUAUCUUGCCCAAGGAUACUUUGAUGUGCCAUCGAGGUACAGCCUAUUGAGCUAUCAUCACGUUACGAGUGUGGAGCUCUCUGGAUGGCUGCUAACAUUUGGUAUAUGAGGCAUAACCCAAAUGUGUCUAUAGGUGUAACCGGAUAGGCAGCUUCUCCCUGCAGAUUCUGACAGUGCCAAAGAAGUAACCAAUGUUCUAGACGCUUUCAAACUAACAGCAAAAACACUCUAAAUGGGUCCCUUUGUAUUUUGACAAUGAAUGUUUGUUGUUGCAGUAGCUGAUGGGAGAUUAUCAGAGACCCAAGCCAUUGCCCUAGCAACAGAAUAGCAAGUAGUGUUGAUCAUUGCUGAUAUCAUCCACACUCCCAUAUCGUCGCUGUCCAAUGAAAAACACGUAUCUCCGCUUUUGACGAAUUUAACUUUCUAUGCGCUUUGAUGGACACUUCUGACACCCAAUAGAGAUACGCGUUGAAAAGAUGAUGUGAUAAAACGUCUUUCCAUUGGUCAUUUGGAUACCCACGCUAACGGUUGCUAGGGAAUAUUAUGGACACUCCAUGCACUGUAGAAAGUCAAAAUCGUCAAAAGUGGAGAUACAUAUUUUUCAUUGGACAGCGACGAUAUGCUGUCAUAGGACACUAAAGUAAAACACAUGGUAGAAACGAUUGAACCCUGCCAAUAUGCACCUUGAUGUGUGCACUUUAAUCAGUCCGUUGUGCCUGCUCUGUAUCAAGGAGCACCAGCUGCCGUCCAGGAGUGAACUGCUCAUGCUUUAAAGAUAGAUAGUUACUUUAUAUUGCUGAAAUGUAUUUAUUUAAUUCAAAACAUGCCUGUUUGAAACAGGCAGUUGCUUGGUCUGUUGUAUUGCUGCUGUGCUUUCUCGAGAACCGCUCAUACAAACCGCUUCGCACUCCACGCUGCCCUUCUUUGGGUCCGUAGCAAUACACCUGGGCCCCACAUAGCUAUAGAUUCAUUGUGAUGUGCCAAUGUGAAGAACAAAUCGUAUGUCGAAACGGGUCCCCAGCAAUACACCUGGGGAGUGUGAAGUAGAUCGGAUGAAUGGUUUUCGGGACAUGCAAAGAUUAGAUUACAGUAUGUAAAUAGUUGAGUGUUUCUGCAGAUAGAGUUAGUAGAAUUAUAUUUAAAGUUUAUGAAAACGCACUGUAUUUUUUAAAGUUCAAUAAAUCUGGAUAUUUUCAAAGUC